AAGAAAAGUGAAGAAACUUAAAGAAAGAAUAUGCUGAAUCUGAUGGCGUAGAUGGAUUUCUAUCGCAUAGUUUGAAGAUCGGAUUCUUGAGCUACUUCUUAGGAGUUAUGAGAUAUUGCUUAGGAAUAGAUAACAACAAGUUUUCAUAUGGAUUGUAAGGAUUAGUUUUUCCGCAAAGUUUUAAAAUAAAAGAAAAUUUUUGAUUUUAUUUAUUUUAAAAUAUCCUUACAAUGGCAUUUGAGGAAAAAUUGUUGCUUAUAUGAUUCCAUUAAUAGCAAGAGUGGAAAUAUGAAAUUGAUUCUUUCAUUUGUGGUAAUGUCUAAAUUUACCAAAUAAGGAAAGAUUCUCAUCACCCAAGUUUCAAUUGGACCGAAACUUGGAAUCAUGCAAGUUGUAUAGCAUGAUGAAUGAGAACUUUCAAGUUUUGGAAAAUUAAGACUAAUUACUUGUUCACAUGGAUGUGUGAGUCAAGUAAAGGACUAAGGGAUCGAGUACACAUUCUUGUGCACUGAUUAAGUCCACCACAAAAGAUUGAUAAGAUUAUUCGUCAUAGUUUACUAAAGCUCAGUAAACAUGAUUAUACUUACAAGCUUAAGUGUAACUCUGAGACAUUGGAAAAGGUUCCAAUGUAUGGCAGAACGAAUAAGAAGAAUCAAAUUAGGCAGAAGGAUAAAAGUUCAAAUCUGAAAAGAUGGGAGAGUACUUUAGUAUCAAUUUUGUGAUCAUCUUAAUGAUUAAGAAACCAUAGCACAAUUACUUCUCUAAGGAAAUCUUAGUGCAUUCUUAUGACUAAGAAGAGGGAUCUUGAAUUGUUGAAAUGGUUAAAUCAAGAAGAUGAGUCAUACUUCGUUCCAAUACAAGUCUUAGAGUCAUACUCCAAGAUUGUAACUUGAGUGACAUGUCUUCAAGAAACACUUGUCAAAUGUAAGAGUAAAAGUUUUCUACUCUUGUACAUUUGAAAUUGGUAAGUUGUGAUGUUUUGGAUAAAACAAAGACCAACUUAGGCUAAUUGUGUGAAGUGUUUGUCUUGGUUAGAAUCCACACUAUCUCUUGAAUAACUGACAAGAAAGUCUUAUAGGUCAAGAGGACAGUGGGAGUCUUAAAGGUCUUGAAAGUCUCAAGAACUAAUCAAGAAUAAAACCUGAAGUUCUUCACUAGCACACGACUUGAGGUUUAUAACCUAUCGUGUUGACAUAUUUUGUGCCCAUUCCAGUUAAGGUUGGCUUUGCAUAUGAGUUCUUAGAGUUUUGUGCCUAUUCCAGUUAAGGUUGGCUUUGCAUAUGAGUUCUUAGAGUUCUCAAUUGGUUGCACAACAACUUGGAAGCAAUGGCAUGCCCUUGAGCUACCAGGUGGCAAGAAAUUAAGAUUGAGUUCAUUCC
rnacentral:lncRNA from 1 species